rnacentral:rRNA from 1 species
CCUACGGGAGGCAGCAGUGGGGAAUAUUGGGCAAUGGGCGCAAGCCUGACCCAGCAACGCCGCGUGAAGGAAGAAGGCUUUCGGGUUGUAAACUUCUUUUCUCAGGGACGAAGAAAGUGACGGUACCUGAGGAAUAAGCCACGGCUAACUACGUGCCAGCAGCCGCGGUAAUACGUAGGUGGCAAGCGUUAUCCGGAUUUAUUGGGUGUAAAGGGCGUGUAGGCGGGAGCGCAAGUCAGAUGUGAAAACUCAGGGCUCAACCCUGAGCCUGCAUUUGAAACUGUGUUUCUUGAGUGCUGGGGAGGCAAGCGGAAUGCCGGGUGUAGCGGUGAAAUGCGUAGAUAUACGGAGGAACACCAGUGGCGAAGGCGGAUUGCUGGACAGUAACUGACGCUGAGGCGCGAAAGCGUGGGGAGCAAACAGGAUUAGAUACCCCAGUAGUC